rnacentral:rRNA from 1 species
GAUCCUGGCUCAGGAUGAACGCUAGCUACAGGCUUAACACAUGCAAGUCGAGGGGGCAGCAUGGUCUUAGCUUGCUAAGGCCGAUGGCGACCGGCGCACGGGUGAGUAACACGUAUCCAACCUGCCGUCUACUCUUGGGACAGCCUUCUGAAAGGAAGAUUAAUACAAGAUGGCAUCAUGAGUCCACAUGUUCACAUGAUUAAAGGUAUUCCGGUAGACGAUGGGG